GAUGAACGCUGGCGGCGUGCCUAAUACAUGCAAGUCGAGCGAACAGACGAGGAGCUUGCUCCUCUGACGUUAGCGGCGGACGGGUGAGUAACACGUGGAUAACCUACCUAUAAGACUGGGAUAACUUCGGGAAACCGGAGCUAAUACCGGAUAAUAUAUUGAACCGCAUGGUUCAAUAGUGAAAUACGGUUUUGCUGUCACUUAUAGAUGGAUCCGCGCCGCAUUAGCUAGUUGGUAAGGUAACGGCUUACCAAGGCAACGAUGCGUAGCCGACCUGAGAGGGUGAUAGGCCACACUGGAACUGAGACACGGUCCAGACUACUACGGGAGGCAGCAGUAGGGAAUCGUCCGCAAUGGGCGAAAGCCUGACGGAGCAACGCCGCGUGAGUGAUGAAGGUCUUCGGAUCGUAAAACUCUGUUAUUAGGGAAGAACAAAUGUGUAAGUAACUAUGCACGUCUUGACGGUACCUAAUCAGAAAGCCACGGCUAACUACGUG
rnacentral:rRNA from 1 species